CCUACGGGAGGCAGCAGUGAGGAAUAUUGGUCAAUGGGCGAGAGCCUGAACCAGCCAAGUCGCGUGAGGGAGUACUGCCCUAUGGGUUGUAAACCUCUUUUGUCGGGGAGCAAAAGCCGGACGUGUCCGGCUGUGAGAGUACCCGAAGAAAAAGCAUCGGCUAACUCCGUGCCAGCAGCCGCGGUAAUACGGAGGAUGCGAGCGUUAUCCGGAUUUAUUGGGUUUAAAGGGUGCGCAGGCGGAUUUUUAAGUCAGCGGUAAAAUCGUGGGGCUCAACCCCAUCCAGCCGUUGAAACUGGGGAUCUAGAGUGUGCGAGAGGUAUGCGGAAUGCGUGGUGUAGCGGUGAAAUGCAUAGAUAUCACGAAGAACCCCGAUUGCGAAGGCAGCAUACCGGUGCACAACUGACGCUCAGGCACGAAAGCGUGGGUAUCGAACAGGAUUAGAUACCCUUGUAGUC
rnacentral:rRNA from 1 species